rnacentral:lncRNA from 1 species
AGGGGAGGGAUCGCUUGGCUUACUGGUUACUGUCUAUCUCCAGGGGAAGCCAAGGCAGGAACCUGGAGGCAGGAGCGGAGGCAGACAUCAAGGGAACACCGCUUACAAGCUUUCUUUCUGUGGCUCCUCAGUCAGCUUUAUACUACCUGCUCAGGGAUGGCACUACCCAUAGUGGGCUGGGCUCUCUCAUGGCAAUCAUCAGUCAGUUGACUCUAGGUUAUGUCGAGUUUGUCAAACACAAGCAGAACAGAGAGGAACAGCAUCCCGGAAGACUGGCAGGCAGGCAUCCAGCCUAGUGAGAAGGCAUUCUGAGGACCUGUGAUCACAGCCCCUUCCCCUGAGGUCUUGCCUUUGGGUGACAUAGAGGUAUCGAUGUCCUGGGAUACCUGACCAAGGCCCCACUAUCUGCCUCCUCAGGAAAAAGCCUUCUAAAGUGUUGUAUCUAAGUGUUGCCUUUUUAAACAUAGAUAUAUUAACUACGGAAAUGAUGACCUUUGGGACUAGGUGCAUUUUUAAAAUACAUUUUUUAUUAAUUCUC